rnacentral:rRNA from 1 species
AUUGAACGCUGGCGGCAGGCUUAACACAUGCAAGUCGAGCGAGUGGCGGACGGGUGAGUAAUGUCUGGGAAACUGCCCGAUGGAGGGGGAUAACUACUGGAAACGGUAGCUAAUACCGCAUACCAUCGGAUGUGCCCAGAUGGGAUUAGCUAGUAGGUGGGGUAACGGCUCACCUAGGCGACGAUCCCUAGCUGGUCUGAGAGGAGUACCAGCCACACUGGAACGGAGACACAGUCCAGACUCCUACGGUAGGCAGCAGUGGGGAAUAUUGUACAAUGGGCGCAAGCCUGAUGCAGCCAUGCCGCUUGUAUGAAGAAGGCCUUCGGGUUGUAAAGGACUUUCAGCGAGGAGGCGUUACUCGCAGAAGAAGCGCCGGCUAACUCCGUGCCAGCAGCCGCGGUAAUAC